rnacentral:rRNA from 1 species
UACGUAGGGGGCAAGCGUUGUCCGGAUUUAUUGGGCGUAAAGAGCGUGUAGGCGGCCAGGUAGGUCCGUUGUGAAAACUCGAGGCUCAACCUCGAGCUGUCGAUGGAAACCAUCUGGCUAGAGUCCGGAAGAGGAGAGUGGAAUUCCCGGUGUAGCGGUGAAAUGCGCAGAUAUCGGGAAGAACACCCGUGGCGAAGGCGGCUCUCUGGCCCGAUACUGACGCUGAGGCACGAAAGCGUGGGGAGCAAACAGG